rnacentral:rRNA from 1 species
AACGAACGCUGGCGGCAUGCCUAACACAUGCAAGUCGAACGAAGCCUUCGGGCUUAGUGGCGCACGGGUGACGUGGGACUCUGCCCUCAGGUACGGAAUAACUCCGGGCAACUUGAGCUAAUACCGUAUGAUGUCUUCGGACCAAAGAUUUAUCGCCUGAGGAUGAGCCCGCGUCGGAUUAGCUAAUUGGUGGGGUAAAGGCCUACCAAGGCGACGAUCCGUAGCUGGUCUGAGAGGAUGAUCAGCCACACUGGGACUGAGACACGGCCCAGACUCCUACGGGAGGCAGCAGUGGGGAAGAUUGGACAAUGGGCGAAAGCCUGAUCCAGCAAUGCCGCGUGAGUGAAGAAGGCCUUCGGGUUGUAAAGCUCUUUUACCCGGGAAGAUAAUGACUGUACCGGGAGAAUAAGCCCCGGCUAACUCCGUGCCAGCAGCCGCAGUAACAC